UACGAAGGGGGCUAGCGUUGCUCGGAAUCACUGGGCGUAAAGCGCACGUAGGCGGCUCUUAAGUCAGGGGUGAAAUCCUGGAGCUCAACUCCAGAACUGCCUUUGAUACUGGGAGUCUUGAGUUCGGGAGAGGUGAGUGGAACUGCGAGUGUAGAGGUGAAAUUCGUAGAUAUUCGCAAGAACACCAGUGGCGAAGGCGGCUCACUGGCCCGAUACUGACGCUGAGGUGCGAAAGCGUGGGGAGCAAACAGG
rnacentral:rRNA from 1 species